rnacentral:rRNA from 1 species
UACGGAGGGUGCAAACGUUGCUCGGAAUCAUUGGGCGUAAAGCGCACGUAGGCGGUCCAGCAAGUCGGGUGUGAAAGCCCUCGGCUUAACCGAGGAAGUGCAUUCGAAACUACUGGACUUGAAUACUGGAGAGGAUCGCGGAAUUCUCGGUGUAGCAGUGAAAUGCGUAGAUAUCGAGAGGAACACCAGUGGCGAAGGCGAGUCCCUGGACGACUCCUGACACUGAGGCACGAAAGCUAGGGAGCAAACAGG